GACGAACGCUGGCGGCGUGCUUAACACAUGCAAGUCGAACGGAAAGGCCCUGCUUUUGUGGGGUGCUCGAGUGGCGAACGGGUGAGUAACACGUGAGUAACCUGCCCUUGACUUUGGGAUAACUUCAGGAAACUGGGGCUAAUACCGGAUAGGAGCUCCUGCUGCAUGGUGGGGGUUGGAAAGUUUCGGCGGUUGGGGAUGGACUCGCGGCUUAUCAGCUUGUUGGUGGGGUAGUGGCUUACCAAGGCUUUGACGGGUAGCCGGCCUGAGAGGGUGACCGGCCACAUUGGGACUGAGAUACGGCCCAGACUCCUACGGGAGGCAGCAGUGGGGAAUAUUGCACAAUGGGCGGAAGCCUGAUGCANCAACGCCGCGUGCGGGAUGACGGCCUUCGGGUUGUAAACCGCUUUCGCCUGUGACGAAGCGUGAGUGACGGUAAUGGGUAAAGAAGCACCGGCUAACUACGUGCCAGCAGCCGCGGUGAUACGUAAGGUGCGAAGCGUUGUCCGGAUUUAUUGGGCGUAAAAGGCUCGUACGUGGUUGAUCGCGUCAGAAGUGUAAUCUUUGGGGCUUAACCCUGAGCGUGCUUUCNAUACCGGUUGACUUGANGNAAGUAAGGGAAAAUGGAAUUUCUUGGUGGANCNGUGGAAUGCGCAGAUNUC
rnacentral:rRNA from 1 species